GAUGAACGCUGGCGGCGUGCCUAAUACAUGCAAGUCGAGCGAACAGACGAGGAGCUUGCUCCUUUGACGUUAGCGGCGGACGGGUGAGUAACACGUGGAUAACCUACCUAUAAGACUGGGAUAACUUCGGGAAACCGGAGCUAAUACCGGAUAACAUGUUGAACCGCAUGGUUCAACAGUGAAAGACGGUCUUGCUGUCACUUAUAGAUGGAUCCGCGCCGCAUUAGCUAGUUGGUAAGGUAACGGCUUACCAAGGCAACGAUGCGUAGCCGACCUGAGAGGGUGAUCGGCCACACUGGAACUGAGACACGGUCCAGACUCCUACGGGAGGCAGCAGUAGGGAAUCUUCCGCAAUGGGCGAAAGCCUGACGGAGCAACGCCGCGUGAGUGAAGAAGGUCUUCGGAUCGUAAAACUCUGUUAUAAGGGAAGAACAAAUGUGUAAGUAACUAUGCACGUCUUGACGGUACCUAAUCAGAAAGCCACGGCUAACUACGUG
rnacentral:rRNA from 1 species